rnacentral:rRNA from 1 species
CUUGCUUAAUAUAAGAGGUCCAGCCUGCCCAGUGAAAAUUUAACGGCCGCGGUACCCUGACCGCGCGAAGGUAGCAUAAUCACUCGUUCUUUAAAUAGGGACUUGUAUCAAUGGCAUCACGAGGGUCGCACUGUCUCCUCCCCCUGAUCAGUGAACCUGAUCUCUCCGUGAAGAAGCGGGGAUGAAAAUAUAAGACGAGAAGACCCCAUGGAGCUUUAAACCCAAAGCAAUCUAAUCAAAUAAAUCCUUAUAUAAUUUAAGUAUGCAUAACGGCUUUAGGUUGGGGUGACCGCGGGGCAAAAACAAACCCCCACAACGAAAAGAAAUAAACCUUUAUUUAAGAGUUACUACUCUAAGAAUUAGCACACUAACGAACAAUGACCCGAUAAUCGAUCAAUGGACCA